AGUUUGGUGACCCCUGCCCUAAUCCAAUGAUCUGACAUAUGAAGUGUUUAUUUUUUGUCUGGUUCUUGUAGUUUUGUGUUUUUGUUUAAGAUACUAUAUAGCAUCCUUGUAAACAUUAAUAGUAAGAUAUAAAUGCUCAAAAUUUAUGAAUGACUUAACUAUUCUGACUUAUGAUGACAGAAUUUGAAACCAAACUGCAUUGUAAGUCAAGGACUAUGUGCAUGUGUGUGUGUGUUCAUGUGCAUGCAUAUAUUGCUCCUCUGAUUAUAUUUUAAUGAUUCCAUCAUAGAUCGAAAAAAUUGUAAGUCAAAAACGACUAAUGAUAGAAAUAAUUUUAAUAGAGUUUGCUGUGGUGGAAGCAUUCUGUGUUUUAUCUGUUUCAGUCCGUGAGGGAUCUGGUUCAGUUCUUGGGUUCCAUCUCCAAAUAUUUUUGUUUUUUCAAUUGAACCCUAUCCUCCACCUGAUGGGAAUAGGCAUCUCAUCAGGGGAUGGGGAUAGUGCUGGAAUGCUUUGCCAUUUAAGUAUUUGAAAUAUGGAAAGCUGUGUUAAGCCAUAUAAAUAAAAAAAAAUCUUUUAUAGUAGUAAAAUCAUUUAGAAUUAAACCUGAAUCCUCCAAUGUAAUAAAUGAAUGAUUUAUUAUGCAGCCUUCAACUGAC
rnacentral:lncRNA from 1 species